rnacentral:rRNA from 1 species
GCGUUGUUCGGAUUCACUGGGCGUAAAGGGUGCGUAGGUGGCUUGGUAAGUUCGAUGUGAAAUCUCCGGGCUUAACCCGGAAAUGGCAUUGAAUACUAUUGAGCUGGAGGUUUGGAGGGGGGACUGGAAUUCUCGGUGUAGCAGUGAAAUGCGUAGAUAUCGAGAGGAACACCAGUGGCGAAGGCGAGUCCCUGGACAACACCUGACACUGAGGCACGAAAGCUAG